GAUGAACGCUGGCGGCGUGCCUAAUACAUGCGAGUCGAGCGAACAGAUGAGGAGCUUGCUCCUCUGACGUUAGCGGCGGACGGGUGAGUAACACGUGGAUAACCUACCUAUAAGACUGGGAUAACUACGGGAAACCGGAGCUAAUACCGGAUAAUAUAUUGAACCGCAUGGUUCAAUAGUGAAAGACGGUUUUGCUGUCACUUAUAGAUGGAUCCGCGCCGCAUUAGCUAGUUGGUAAGGUAACGGCUUACCAAGGCAACGAUGCGUAGCCGACCUGAGAGGGUGAUCGGCCACACUGGAACUGAGACACGGUCCAGACUCCUACGGGAGGCAGCAGUAGGGAAUCUUCCGCAAUGGGCGAAAGCCUGACGGAGCAACGCCGCGUGAGUGAUGAAGGUCUUCGGAUCGUAAAACUCUGUUAUUAGGGAAGAACAAAUGUGUAAGUAACUAUGCACGUCUUGACGGUACCUAAUCAGAAAGCCACGGCUAACUACGU
rnacentral:rRNA from 1 species